GUGUCAGCAGCCGCGGUAAUACGGAGGGGGCGAGCGUUGUUCGGAAUCAUUGGGCGUAAAGGGCGCGUAGGCGGCGUCGUAAGUCAGAUGUGAAAGCCCUUGGCUUAACCAAGGAAUUGCAUCUGAAACUGCGGUGCUUGAAUCCGGGAGGGGAGAGUGGAAUUCCCAGUGUAGCGGUGAAAUGCGUAGAUAUUGGGAGGAACACCGGCGGCGAAGGCGGCUCUCUGGACCGGUAUUGACGCUGAGGCGCGAAAGCUAGGGGAGCAAACGGGAUUAGAUACCCCUGUAGUCC
rnacentral:rRNA from 1 species